CCUUUUCACAAAUUUUAAUGUGUUUGUAUGUAAAUAGAUGUUUGUAUGAAAUAUUUUCAUGGUAGAAUGAAUAUAUUUAAAUGAAGUUGAAUUAUUCCAGUGCUAUUUAAACACAUGACAAAAAAAUUUUUGGUGAGAAUUAUCUGAGUCUAUUGAGAUAUAAUGCAGAUCAAUUUUCAUUUUUAGAAAUCAAAAGCCUACAAACCGCUCUGACUGGUGAUCACCUCCUGGUGGGGUGGCGUCCGAUGUGAGGUAGGCUUCCCCAGUGCCUCAGCCGCUUUCUGGUGGUAAGUUCGGUGCUAAAGAAGAUGUGUUUACCUUUUAGUGAUUCCUGCAGGCCUCCGAGGGGCCUGAGAGCGAAUCGAGGCGUUAGAGACACCGGUGCAGUUACCCGAGCACAAUUUCUUUGCAGGGCAGCAGAAUCAGAAGCCAGACUUGGCCGUGUAAACCUCGGAGCUGGGUUUCCCGGCUACCUUCACUCGCCACCCCUAACUGCCUAGUCACAAUGUCAGGGAGGCGACCCUCAGUGGAGUUGGGGUCUGGACCCCGGGGGUAGGACUUCACAGAUUUACCAAUGCUCUUUGCCUUCUGACCUCCCUCUCCUAGAGGGAGGAGGAGAGCAGCCGCUGGCAGGGGCCAUUCUCAGCACACUCCUUAUCCUGUCUCAGCUCUGGAAGACUAUGCAUCUAAGCACCCGACUUCAGCCAGAGAGGGAGACCUUCCGAGGAUAAUGGAAACCCGUGAUUCCUGUCUGUGACUUCACACGCAGUUGUUAAAUGUCAUUUUAAUAUGAAGACCAUUCAUGUACCUAAGACCUCCCAACUCUUCCGACUCUUGAGUUACGGGAAAGAAAAACAAAACAAAACAAAAUCCUUUAUGAUGCUAUCCCACCUGAGUGCGUUCCCCAACCCACCUCUGGCCCUGGGUAUAAUUAAACAAUACCUGACAAGUUUCACUGUGUACACUAGCAAUAUGAGCACUGAGCCAGUGCACCUCGGUUACCAUCGGUUACUACAGUGAGUCUCCAUACACAGGGAUACGUACGUCAUACCUGGUGGUUGCUUAAGAAAGUUAUGAAGUUACGUCCAUGAUUCUUAGCUCCUUUCUUCAAACGUUUUUCCCCCUCCUGGUUUUUCUGUGUUCUCCUAGCCUAAAGAGCAUUUGACUGGGUUGUGAGGUACGUUUAUGGAGUAGAAGCCAGGGGCAAUGCUUUCGGGCUUGAUUGUAACCAAAAGUCAACCCAUCGCAGUUUAAAAAAAAAAACAAAACAUCUUUGGUCUUUUGUGGAAUUUGAACUAAAUCUAUGAGCCUUAUUCGAUAUCUAUAAUUCUAUGAUUUUUUUUAAAUUACGGGAAAUCAAUGGAAGAUGUUUACAUGAGUAAUGUUUGCCCUUAACUGUGUUAUGAAUGAAUUUUUUGUAGUGUGUCUGGGCGCAUGUGCAAGAAAGUAGGAAAAAUGUUUCUGAAACAAAACUUGACAAAUAUUUGUAAUGAAAAGUAAACUUAAAGAUUGCUAUAAUCGCGCUAUAGAAACAAUGCAAGUAUUAAACAAAAUGUACAAUC
rnacentral:lncRNA from 1 species